rnacentral:lncRNA from 13 species
CUUGUGAGAAUGUUGUAAAGAACAUAUGAGAUACAUCUGUAAAGUGGUGGUGAAUGCUGAAGUCUUCCAUUCUUUCUGCACCAGGUCCUGUGCUGUUGCACCAUCAACUAACGAAAGUGCAGGUGGACCAUUACUAGAAAAAGAGCAGGACUGCAAACAGAAAAGUCCAAGUCAACAAGCCAGUGACGGUUCUCAACUUGACGCCAGCAGUAACCAACUCUACAAAGAAAACGCAGCAUUCCUCUUCUCCAAAGUAAACCUAUAACAAAAACCCCUGCCAUCUAUAAUAGCAACUCAUGGUCCCACGGAGCUUCAUACAUUUUCCAGAGUUUCAAAACCUGGCUAACACUGAGUCAAGUUAGGAGCCUCAAUCGAUAUCUCUGACCAACUUAAAGCAUGUGUAGAAUGUUUGAUGUACCUGAAAGUGAGUAAAAUGUGAAAGUCAAUUGCUGGAAUUGGUUGAAUGAGAAUGUCGAGUGAAGAAGACAAGACAGCAGCAGAGGAAGAGGAAUGUAUCAUCCAAGAAGGGAAAAGAGAAAUACUAUUACUAUCUAUUGUCUUGGUGGUUCUCAUGAGGAGUUAAGGGAGAAUUUCUAACCAGGAAGAAGAUCACAGAAACACACUAUACAGGCCAAGCAUGGUGGUUCAUGCCUGUAAGCCCAGCACUUUGGGAGGCCAAGGCUGGUGGGUCAUGAGGUCAGGAGUUCGAGACCAGCCUGGCCAAUACAAAUACAAAAAAUUAGUUGGGCAUAGUGGUGCUGGCCUGUAGUCCCAGCUACUUGGGAAGCUGAGGCAGAAGAAUUGCUUGAACCUGGGAGGUGGAGGUUGCAGUGAGCCAAAAUCAUGCCACUGUACUUCAGCCUGGCCAACAGAACAAGACUCCAUCUCAAAUAAAAAAAAAAUUCUAUAUAUACA